CUAGUAACGGCGAGUGAAGCGGGAAGAGCUCAAAUUUGUAAUCUGGCACCUUCGGUGUCCGAGUUGUAAUCUCGAGAAGUGUUUUCCGCGCCGGACCGCAUACAAGUCUGUUGGAAUACAGCGUCAUAGUGGUGAGAACCCCGUAACUGAUGCGGAUGCCCGGUGCUUUGUGAUACACUUUCGAAGAGUCGAGUUGUUUGGGAAUGCAGCUCAAAUUGGGUGGUAAAUUCCAUCUAAAGCUAAAUAUUGGCGAGAGACCGAUAGCGAACAAGUACCGUGAGGGAAAGAUGAAAAGCACUUUGGAAAGAGAGUUAACAGUACGUGAAAUUGUUGGAAGGGAAACGCUUGAAGUCAGACUUGCUAUUUGGAAUUCAGCCGCAAGGUGUACUUUUCAAUUCGCAGGCCAGCAUCAGUUUUCGGGGGUGGAAAAGGGUAGAGAGAAGGUAGCAAUUUCGGUUGUGUUAUAGCUCUUUGCUGGAUUCAUCCUUGGGGACUGAGGAACGCAGCACGCUUUUUGCAAGGCUUUCGAGCUUUUCGUGCUUAGGAUGCUGGUGGAAUGGCUUUAAACGACCCGUCUUGAAACACGGACC
rnacentral:rRNA from 1 species